rnacentral:lncRNA from 1 species
AUCAUGUCAGGAUUUGUAGCGAGUGUCAAUUUAGGAAUGCUGUGGUUUCUUCAAGGAAGUCUAGGGCAAGUAAUGUAACUUCUUAGUAGAAGAGAGUUUACAAUUUUAGGGUGGUGCCGAGGAUCAAUCCAAGAUCUUCAGCUAUGGAGGUAAUCAUCCCAAAGGUCUCCAAAAGUGCACAACAGCUGAAGAGGAUUGGCG